UGUGCAAGUGAUUCUCCUGCCUUGGCCUCGUGAGUAGCUGGGACUACAAGUGUGGAGCCACUGUGCCCGGCCUACAGUUGGCUGCUCUUGAAUGUGUUUUUUACCCUUAUGAAAUAGUCGCCUUUUAAAAGUUUUAUUAUGGCCCCUUCCCUUGCCCCUACUCUGGAGGUAACCACUAUUAAUAACUAAGGGGUCUCAAAGGGGUGGUGAUGAGGCAGGAGAAUAGGGUCUAGAGGCAGGGAAACUAAGGCAGUUUCACAAUGACUUCCUAGAACUUAAUUGAUAGGAAAGCCCUAACUUUCCACUCCUAAGUAACCAAAGGACCAGAGGUUACUCCUUUUGCAAACCCCCAACUUUUCUGGCCGGCAGAUGGGAAAUUGAAAGUACCUCUGACUGGUUGCUUUUUGCGAUCUAUCAGAUGUUUGCAUAGGAUUGUGACCUUUGUAACUUCAUUUCAGCCUCUGAUUGGUUGUUGUGUGAAACCAAUCAGACUGAUUCUGGGCCAAGUCUUCAUUUGCAUAGAAGUGCAACUUUGUAACUUCGCUUUAGCCUCUGACUGGUUGCUUUGUGCAACCAAUAGAUGUUUGCAUAGGAGUGUGACCCUUGUAACUUCACUUCAGCCUCUGAUUGCCAGCCACCACUUCAUUUACGUGAGGUGAACACCAAGUGGCCAAUGGGAAACCUCUAUGGGUAUUUGGAUCUGAGAAGAUUCCGUACCGUGGGCCCUUGAGCCACUGCCCAUCCCAUUCCCACACUGUGGAGUGUACUUAUGUUUUCAAUAAAUCCCUGCCCUUA